GUCACAGUGGCUUAGUGGUUAGCACUGUUGCCUCUCACUGCUGGGGUUGGGGGUUCAAAUCCCAUCUCUGUCC